rnacentral:lncRNA from 1 species
ACGAGGCGGGCGCGCGAGGGUCAGUACUACGGGUGGUGGCACCCAGGCCUGGGCAGAGCGGCUGGCCGGCCCGUCGGUUACGCCUCCCCGCAGGGCCCGAACCUCCGCUCUAAGCCGGCGGGACCUGGAAGAUCUACUCAGGGGACCCACGAAGGGGAGGGUGCGGCGACCCGGCGCGGGCUUCCUCAGCCUCACUAGUAACUGGCCUUUCCCGGCGGUUGCGGGAGUCUGAACACCCGCCGCCUCCCUCGGUGGCACCGCCUCAGUUUCCCCUCUGCAGCCUACAGCGGAAGCGAAGCCAGGCGGCGCGGGCCCAGAGAGGGGAGGCGCGCGAGGCGGCGCGGGAGCGCGCGGAGCGCGCGCGCGCGCUGCUGGAAGCGGCGGAGCAGCACAAGCAAGACUUGGUGGGGCCUGGGCCUCGACUGGGGCUAUGCCUGCGGAGAGGGCGGGGCCCUAAAUAGGACCCGGGCAGGGUCCGGACCCAGUUUGGGGCCGUUCCGAUGCUGGGACCCCGCCCCGACUGGGGUAGGGCCAGCAGCGGAGCCUGGGGUCUCUGAGAGGCCCAGACUGCCCCCCUCAACCCUAUCCACAGGAGCAACACAACCGGCAGUUGCAGGAGCAGUGGGAGGAGCUGUCAAGUCAGGUACAGUCAGGAGGCGGCCUUGGUCUCUAGCUUCCCCUAGGAAGUCCCGUUGUAGUCCUCGCCCCGGUUUUUACCCUGUCCCGGCCUUUAAGGACAUCCCCUACCCCUUGAAGCCCCGCAAACCCCGUCCUCACAAGACCCAUCCCUAGCUCUUCUACUACGGAGGGGAACAACUGAGUCAACAGCGCGCAGAACAGCAACUCGGGACCCAACUGAUGGCUUUGCAGGUGUUUGGGUGGGGCCCCCAAUGCCGGAGCGGCGGUGCGAGCAGCUCCCUGAGGGGCGGGGGUGGGCCAAGCGGACGCGUGGGUGGGGUUCCGGGAGUGCUGGGCUCCUGACAUUCCUUGGAUCCGUCGGAAGAAACAACUGGAGGUGGUGGAGGCCAAGCACGCCAAGCAGGCCGAGGGCCUGCGGCAGGUGCGAGCGAAGCUGGGGUUUGAGGGAGAGUGUCGGUUUCGAGUGUGGGUGGAGCCUGGGCAGGUGCAGGAUGGAGAGGGGUUAUUAUCCCAAGUCUCAUCAGGGCCCCCCACAUCCCAGGGCGUGCAGCGGACGGAGGAGGCUUGGGCCAGCUUUCAGGAGCAGAGCGGAGUCCUGCAGGUACGACCCCCCUCAGUCCCAAGAGCAGCUCACCUCCGACUCCACUGUGGCUCCCACUCCUCCACCCCCAGAGCUGCUCCUCUCUCUCCCCGCCCCACCCCACCCCCAGAUCUCCUCUGCGAGUCCUGGGGCCUUACUCCCUCCCCGUCCAGGAGCUGCAGGGAAAGGUGAUGGAGGCGGCGGCUACGCUGGACGCCUCGAGGGGCGGCCGGGAACUGUAAGGGGUUCAGGACUGUGGGGGUAAGGUGGGGUGGCUGUGGAACCGAGGCAGAUCGUCCACCUCGAUGCCCUUCCCGGCAGGUGCGACUCCCAGCCUCGACGGAUGCAGGACUGCGCGGGCUCGCUCAUGGAAGAGGUGGCCAAAGCUGACUGUGUGAGCGCGGGCCCUGGGCGGGGCGCGCUGG